rnacentral:rRNA from 1 species
UACGUAGGGUGCAAGCGUUAAUCGGAAUUACUGGGCGUAAAGCGUGCGCAGGCGGUUAUGUAAGUCUGACGUGAAAUCCCCGGGCUCAACCUGGGAAUUGCGUUGGAGACUGCAAGGCUAGAAUCUGGCAGUGGGGGGUAGAAUUCCACGUGUAGCAGUGAUAUGCGUAGAGAUGUGGAGGAACACCGAUGGAGAAGGCAGCCCCCUGGGUCAAGAUUGACGCUCAUGCACGAAGGCGUGGGGAGCAAACAGG